UUUUUUUCCAAAAAAGGAACAGCUAAAGUCACCCAUCGCAAUAUAUAGCGGUCCUUGGCACAUUCUGAGUCGUCAUCUGGCCAAGUC
rnacentral:lncRNA from 1 species